GUGACUGCUUAAUAAUUAAUUAUUAAGUUAAUUUAAUUUUUUUUAAUAAAUGAUCUACGUUCAUAGAUUUAAAGAAUUAUUAAACGGAAGUCAGCUUGUGAUGAGUCCAACGAAAUGAAAUAGGAUGUUGUAGUUCAAAGACAAGUCAUUUUCUUUUCGUUUAUAUUUGUUUUUUAAUUUUAGGCUGUAAUUACAAAGGAAAAAGGAAAGGAAAAAAGGUAAUGAAUCUAACAGAUUAAAUUUAAUUUGUUAGAUACCUUCUAGUGUGUUGAAUAAUUAAUUAUCUAUUAGCUCAAACUCAUCUCUGUUUUAAAUUCCAAAGAUGUAUAACUACUUAAACUAAGCUCAAGCUUAAUAUCAAACAUAGAAUUAAUAACACAUAUUAUAAAAGCAAAAAAACUAAGUGAGUGAACUUAAAAAUUAGCCAUGCAUAAUAUAUAAUUUAUCCCACAUGUGAAAAUAUUAGACUUAUCUCACAUCGCUUAUCUCAUCCAACAAACUUAAUUUUAAAUUAGACUCCUCAACCCUUUUCUCUAACAUGAUAUCCAAAAUAUAUACUUUGAGUGAUUCUCUCAGUAGUGAUCAUGUCUCUACUUAAGUCUCUAUCUCUCUUCUCAUCAACUCCAAGUUCAUCCUCUUAAUCUACUGCCUACCUUACCUUGUGCUAUGUGGCCAUUGCUUCUUAGCACAAGUAAUAAUUAAAAAAGUAUCUUAUUUUCAUAGACCAGAUAUGUGUGUUGAUGAUAUUAUCUAAGGUGUUUCAAAAAUUCGAAAUAUGGUUAAAUAAAACCCUAGAAUGUGGUUUGGUUCUAUAGUUUAGAUGGUUCAAUUCUCAUUUUAGAAAUAGAAAAUUGAGGAUGUUUGGCUUUGGUAUUUACUCUCUGCUUUAUAUAUUGAAUCUCCAUUAUUCUAUUUUGAGAUGUUUAAGAAUCCAUUUAUCUUUUUUUUCAUAUAUUAUUUAAGUAACAUUCAACCAAAUAAAAAAUUAAAUGUAAUAAUUACUAUGUUAAAAUUAAAAAUUCAGUAAAAAGUAAAUGUUAUGAUUGUGUUUCCUUAAAAAUUAAAUUGAAUUCUCCGAAAAAGACCUUCAAUAUAGGACUAAGUGAAUAUAUAUUAAAACUUGAAUGCUUCGUUACGUUUAUGCUAUGGAAUGUUUAUAUUAUCACCCUCUCGAUAACCAUAGUAAUAUUCUUAUCUCACAUUAUUCUAACGAUGAACACAAAAUAAUAGAGACAAGUUUAGAGACGAUGUAUAGAAUUAAAAGGGUGAGAAAAUUUGCAAUAUUUAGUUAAUUUUUUUAAAUUCAAUUUUACAAAGUUAUUUUUCAAAAUUUAUUUGAUUGACUAUUGAAAACACGCUCUCUAUAAUUUUUUUCAAGAAAAAACUCAAUUUUUAGCAUAAAUUAAAAUAUACCAUAUUUAAACUGUCAAAAACCAUUCCCACUGGAGGAUAAAUAAUAUAUGUUAUCUAACACGUUUUCUCUGUAAUGUUGUCAACAAUAAUAUACGAAAAGACAAAGUAUAUUUAAGAGCCCCCACUAUGCUUGUGUUUCUCUCUCGUCGCAAUAAUUACUUAUUAAAGUACGAGAAAAGACAAAGUACACGUGAGAUAGGAAAACGACUACUCUAACAAUUUAGGUCUCAUUUGGCUGGAGGAUUUGGAGGGGUAUAAUUUUUUUCCCGGAUAACUUUUUUCUCGGAAUGUUUGGCUAGCGGAUAUGCCCCCGGAUAAGUUAUGCCCCCGAAGGUAGAUAAUUUUUGGGUUGCCUAGACCCCUAACUAAAAAUUAUCCGGGGGAUAAGGGAUACCGCCCCCCUCUCUCCCCCGCCCCCCCCUGUCUCCUUUCUCGUCUCCUCUAUCUACAUCUCUCAGCCCUGCCCACUCUUUUUCCUCUAUCCCUCUUUUCUCUUUUCUUUUCUCUCAUUCCUUUUCUUCCUUCCUCCUAACCUACCUUAUCCACUCAUUCUAAAAAAGUAUCCAAAACAAAAGUUAAAAGUUAUCCCAUCCAAAGUUAUCACCUCUAAAAAGUUUCCUCCCCUAAAAAUUAUGCUGCCUCCCUUAUCCUCAGCCAAACGGGCCCUUGGGGUAAGGUAAAUGUUACGUAGUACGUACCCCCACCAAUUGAAAUAACACCGACACCCAUAGUUAUGAAAACGGACGAACCGGCAGGUUCAACCGGUUCAAUCGAAACUGGGCACUAAAUCGGUUCGGACACAACAUUUUAUCGCAUCGGAAAAAUGCAAGCCAACCGGAUUGAACCGGUUUGAAUCGGCCGAUUUUUUUUUUUUAACAGAAAAAAUAAAGUUUUAAUUUUUACAGUUUGACCCAAAAAUUUUAAUUAAAGUUUUACUUUUUACAAUGACCCCAAAAUUUGAAUUAAAUUAUUUUUUUAAUCGUUUUCUAAAUUAAUUUUUACUAUGAAUGGGUAAUAAAAAAAUUUUUUUUUUUUUUAUAAUAAAAAUAUAAUUUUAUUAUAUUAAUUAUAAAUCCGGUUGAACCGUGGUUGUUUGAACCCAAGGGAACCGUGUGAACCAGUAUUUUGACCGGUUCAAUGUCCGGUUCGGUUCUGAUAACUAUGCCGCGACACCCCUUAAUAUCUGAAAAGGGUAAUGCUAUGAGUACAUUCAAUUUACACCCUAAAUGCAUAUUUGAUGAGGUGGAGUAUUUAAAUUGGUUGGGUGUGGGGUCCACACAGUCCUUUCACCCCACACAUAGCCAAUCUAAAUACUUCAUCUCAUCAGGGGUGCAAGUUGGAUGUACCAUAGCAUUUCUCAUAUCUGAAAACGGUAAAUUUUGACUGACCUCGCAUGAUAUUUUUGAAUCAAAAUCCAACACGUGUACAUUAGUCCAAUUCCUAUUUAAUGGGCUAUUGGGGCCAUAGCCCCUGCAUGUUUCCUCUCGCUGCAUCCACAUGGAGACUGAUCUAAUGUCCCUUUCUUAUCUGUCCUUUCUUUCUUUUUUCAUUAAUUCAAAAGAGGUGAUCAGAUGUGGCGCACCCAUUGUAAUACCAUGGGAGCGUCCCUGAGGGCUCACUACAAUCACAUAAUUUUUUUCAAAUUAUGUCUUAUUUAUUUUUGAAAUCACUCAGCCACAAAAUAUGUGGCUGUGGUGAGGCCACGGAGGGCGCUCCCAUGAUAUUAUCACGGACACGCACCUAUCUGAUCACCACUCUUAAUUUAAUGCGAUGCUCGGAAAAGGUACAAUGGAGUCUUACACGAAUCUCGUAAGUGUUUGCAAUAGUUUAUCUCCUUUAAUUCAUAAACCAUAUAUAAUACUUUAUAUACCGAAGGCAUUAUGAAAUCUAAAAUAUUCCUAAAAUUAUAAUUUAGGUUCGAGUCAAAAAAUUCACAACUACGACCUACAAGCUGAUGAGAUACCAACAUACAUACACCACAAUCAUAUGGUCCUCACUGAUCUCUCUUCUCGACGCCUACACAUGCAUUAUAUGCGCAUAAAAUAUUUGAAGUGUUAAACUAAUCCCAUAUCAAAUAGUUUUGGGAAUACUCCACCUCAUGCUAAUGAUCUUUACUUUACAAUAACAAUUUGUACUACUACAAACAAUUCGCCUUGCUAGAUGCAUUAAAUUGAACUUUCAAGUUCCAAAUUUCUAUUUUGGGAAUUAAAAAGCUUUUUUAAUUGUGCUAUCUGAAAUGACCUUUGGUUUUAACACAUGUAAUAAUUAAAAAAUAUCUUAGCUUUAUCGCCAAAUAUGUGUGUUGAUGAUAUUAUCUAGGGGUGUCUGAAAAUUUAAAAAAAAAACGAUAAAUCAGAUCAAACCAAAUUGGAUCGAACCGUAUGGCUGGUGUGGUCCGGUUCUACGAUUUAGAUUGUUUCAAUACUAAUUUUAAAAAAUAUUAAAUUGGUCUAUAUAGUUCAGUCUUAGUUCUUUAUUUCAGAAUUGUGGUUCAAAAUAAACUGGGCCUGUUUUGUUAAGAACAGAGUUCUGUAACUGGAAUUGAUAUUGCUGAUAGCUGGAAGAAGAAAGAAGAAAAUAGAUUUCCCUAUUCGAGCUAGGGAUAAAGCUCUUAAAAGAACCAAGUAAAGACGGAAUUUUUCAUUCCCUUCUGAAUCAAUGUUACAUUCUUUAUAUUGCUGGACGUUUGACAAGAAUUCAAGGAAUGAUAUCUAACAGUUUUAAACACUAACUGAAUUAACCCAUUCUUGAUAUUGCCCAUGCUUCAGUUAUCUGUUAGCAUAGUUAUUUUGCCAUGCUUUACAUCAUGUUCCUGUCUUUUAAGUCUUAAUCUUUCAUUCAUUCUGGCCUUUUGAUACUCCUUCUUGUUCUAUCAUCCGCUACAAAGCUGUUCUCUCCUACUACCACUGCAUUCGUAACAUGUUUACGUACAUACAUAGCGUGUAUGUGUAAGUUAAACCCAUCCUAACCUUCCUAAUUUAUUUUAUAUUGAGGUAUCAUUACUUAUUGUUUGAUGUUGUAUGAAUUUUUUGGGUUUUCGAUUUUUGCGGUUGUUAUGCUUAGUUUUUUCUAAAGUGGAAUGUUGUCAUGUUAUUUUAAAAUGUAGAUAGUUUAGAAUUUAAAUGUCAGGUAUAAAAUUUAGGAUGUUUGCCUGUGGCAUUUAUUCCAUUCGUCUCAUAGAACUUUUGUUAUUUUAGUUUGGAAUGUCCGAAAAUGUAUAUUCAAUUCGACAGUUAAUAACGAAAAUAUACAACUUUUCUCUUUUAGCCUUUUUUUUAUAAAUUAUUUAAGUAAUAUCAACCAAAACAAAAAAUUAAAUGUAAUAAUUACAGGGAUAAAAUUGGAGAGUCAAUAAAAAUUAAAUGUAAUAAUUAUAUUCCCUUAAAAAGGUUAACUCCCCGAAAUCACACUUCCGUUUGAGGUGGACGGAGUAGAUGUUAAAACUUGAAUGUUAUGUUUUGUUUAUACUGUGUUUAUGUUAUCGGUCUUAACAAUGAGGAUGAUAUUUUUGUCACACAUUAAUCUAAUAAUUAAUUCAAAAAAAAUAGAGAAAAGUUUGGGGACCUCGCAUAGAAUUAAAAGUGCGA
rnacentral:lncRNA from 1 species